AUGACUCAGGAUCAGAUUCAGAGACAUGAUCAGAGAGAUGAAUGGAGGAUCAGAGAGAGGAGGAGUCAGAGAGACAGAAGAGGAGGAGUCAGAGACAGAAGAGGAGGAGGAGUCAGAGACAAGAGGAGGAGUCAGAGACAGAAGAGGAGGAGUCAGAGACAGAAGAGGAGGAGUCAGAGACAAGAGGAGGAGUCAGAGGAAGACAGGAGAGAAGAGGAGGAGUCAGAGACGAACAGAGAGGGAGGAGUCAGAGACAAGAGGAGGAGUCAGAGAGACAGAAGAGGAGAGAGAGGCAAGAGGAGGAGUCAGAGAGACGGAAGAGGAGGAGUCAGAGAGACAGAAGAGGAGGAGUCAGAGGGAAAAAAGAGGAGGAGUCAGAGGGACGGAAGAGGAGGAGUCAGAGGGACAGAAGAGGAGGAGUCAGAGAGACAGAAGAGGAGGAGUCAGAGGGACGGAAGAGGAGGAGUCAGAGGGACGGAAGAGGAGGAGUCAGAGGGACGGAAGAGGAGGAGUCAGAGAGACAGAAGAGGAGGAGUCAGAGAGACAGAAGAGGAGUCAGAGACAGAAGAGGAGGAGUCAGAGGGACAGAAGAGGAGGAGUCAGAGAGACAGAAGAGGAGGAGUCAGAGAGACAGAAGAGAAGGGGACAGAGAGACGGAAGAGGAGGAGUCAGAGAGACGGAAGAGGAGGAGUCAGAGAGACAGAAGAGGAGGAGUCAGAGGGAAAAAAGAGGAGGAGUCAGAGAGACAGAAGAGGAGGAGUCAGAGGGACGGAAGAAGAGGAGUCAUUGAGACAGAAGAGGAGGAGUCAGAGGGACAGAAGAGGAGGAGUCAGAGAGACAGAACAGGAGGAGUCAGAGGGACAGAAGAGGAGGAGUCAGAGGGACGGAAGAGGAGGAGUCAGAGGGACAGAAGAGGAGGAGUCAGAGAGACAGAAGAGGACUAGUCAGAGGGACAGAAGAGGAGGAGUCAGAGAGACAGAAGAGGAGGAGUCAGAAGGACAGAAGAGGAGGAGUCAGAGAGACAGAAGAGGAGGAGUCAGAGGGACAGAAGAGGAGGAGUCAGAAACAGAAGAGGAGGAGUCAGAAGGACAGAAGAGGAGGAGUCAGAGGGACAGAAGAGGAGGAGUCAGAGAGACAGAAGAGGAGGAGUCAGAGGGACAGAAGAGGAGGAGUCAGAGAGACAGAAGAGGAGGAGUCAGAGGGACAGAAGAGGAGGAGUCAGAAACAGAAGAGGAGGAAUCAGAGGGACAGAAGAGGAGGAGUCAGAGGGACAGAAGAGGAGGAGUCAGAGGGACAGAAGAGGAGGAGUCAGAGAGACAGAAGAGAGGAGAGUCAGAGGGACAGAAGAGGAGGAGUCAGAGAGACAGAAGAGGAGGAGUCAGAGGGACAGAAGAGGAGGAGUCAGAAAAUGAAGAGGAGGAGUCAGAAACAGAAGAGGAGGAGUCAGAGGGACAGAAGAGGAGGAGUCAGAGGGACAGAAGAGGAGGAGUCAGAAAAUGA
rnacentral:lncRNA from 1 species